AGCCUCGGGAGACUGAGAAUAAUACCCGAUAGAACACUAUACCUGGAAUGGUUUGUGUUCCAAAUGAUUUAUCGCCAUAGGAUGGGACUGCGGCCUAUCAGUUUGUUGGUGAGGUAAUGGCCCACCAAGACUAUUACAGGUACGGGCUCUGAGAGGAGUAGCCCGGAGAUGGGUACUGAGACACGGACCCAGGCCCUAAGGGGCGCAGCAGGCGAGAAAACUUUGCAAUGCGCGAAAGCACGACAAGGUUAAUCCGAGUGAUUUGUGCUAAACGAAUCUUUUGUUAGUCCUAGAAACACUAACGAAUAAGGGGUGGGCAAGUUCUGGUGUCAGCCGCCGCGGUAAAACCAGCACCUCAAGUGGUCAGGAUGAUUAUUGGGCCUAAAGCAUCCGUAGCCGGCUCUGUAAGUUUUCGGUUAAAUCUGUACGCUCAACGUACAGGCUGCCGGGAAUACUGCAGAACUAGGGAGUGGGAGAGGUAGACGGUACUCGGUAGGAAGUGGUAAAAUGCUUUGAUCUAUCGAUGACCACCUGUGGCGAAGGCGGUCUACCAGAACACGUCCGACGGUGAGGGAUGAAAGCUGGGGGAGCAAACCGGAUUAGAUACCCGGGUAGUCCCAGCUGUAAACUAUGCAAACCCAGUGAUGCAUUGGCUUGUGGCCAAUGCAGUGCUGCAGGGAAGCCGUUAAGUUUGCCGCCUGGGAAGUACGUACGCAAGUAUGAAACUUA
rnacentral:rRNA from 1 species